rnacentral:rRNA from 1 species
GUUAUGUUAAGCUCUAUCAGCAGGGGAGAUAGUGACGGUACCUGACUAAGAAGCUCCGGCUAAAUACGUGCCAGCAGCCGCGGUAAUACGUAUGGAGCAAGCGUUAUCCGGAUUUACUGGGUGUAAAGGGAGUGUAGGUGGCCAUGCCAGUCAGAAGUGAAAAUCCGGGGCUCAACCCCGGAACUGCUUUUGAAACUGUAAGGCUAGAGUGCAGGAGGGGUGAGUGGAAUUCCUAGUGCAGCGGUGAAAUGCGUAGAUAUUAGGAGGAACACCAGUGGCGAAGGCGGCUCACUGGACUGUAACUGACACUGAGGCUCGAAAGCGUGGGGAGCAAACAGGAUUAGAUACCCUGGUAGUCCACGCCGUAAA